rnacentral:rRNA from 1 species
CCUACGGGCGGCAGCAGUGGGGAAUAUUGGGCAAUGGGCGCAAGCCUGACCCAGCAACGCCGCGUGAAGGAAGAAGGCUUUCGGGUUGUAAACUUCUUUUGUCAGGGAAGAGUAGAAGACGGUACCUGACGAAUAAGCCACGGCUAACUACGUGGCAGCAGCCGCGGUAAUACGGAGGUGGCAGGCGUUGUCCGGAUUUAGUGGGUGUAAAGGGCGUGUAGCCGGGUUGAAAAGUCAGAUGGGAAAUCCUGCGGCUUAACCGAAGAACUGCAUUUGAAACUGUUGAUCUUGAGUACGGGAGAGGCAUAUGGAAUGCCUGGUGUAGCGGUGAAAUGCGUAGAUAGUAGGAGGAACACCAGUGGCGAAGGCGGUCUGCUGGACAGCAACUGACGGUGAGGCGCGAAAGCGUGGGGAGCAAACAGGAUUAGAUACCCGGGUAGUC